rnacentral:rRNA from 1 species
GACGAACGCGGGCGGCGUGCUUAACACAUGCAAGUCGAACGAAAAUACCAAGCUUGCUUGGUUGAUUAGUGGCGAACGGGUGAGUAACACGUGAGUAACCUGCCCCUUACAUCCUGGAUAACUGCUCGAAAGGGUAGCUAAUACGGGAUAUUCUGACCAGUCUGCAUGGGUUGGUUUGAAAGGUUGUUUUUCUGGUAAGGGAUGGGCUCGCGGCCUAUCAGCUUGUUGGUGGGGUGAUGGCCUACCAAGGCUUUGACGGGUAGCCGGCCUGAGAGGGUGGACGGUCACACUGGGACUGAGAUACGGCCCAGACUCCUACGGGAGGCAGCAGUGGGGAAUAUUGCACAAUGGGCGCAAGCCUGAUGCAGCGACGCCGCGUGAGGGAUGAAGGCCUUCGGGUUGUAAACCUCUUUCGUCAGGGAACAAGGCACUGCUUUGGUGGUGUUGAGGGUACCUGGAUAAGAAGCGCCGGCUAACUACGUGCCAGCAGCCGCGGUAAUACGUAGGGCGCAAGCGUUGUCCGGAAUUAUUGGGCGUAAAGAGCUCGUAGGCGGCUGGUCGCGUCUGUCGUGAAAACUUCCGGCUCAACCGGGGGCUUGCGGUGGGUACGGGCCGGCUAGAGUGCGGUAGGGGUAACUGGAACUCCUGGUGUAGCGGUGGAAUGCGCAGAUAUCAGGAAGAACACCGAUGGCGAAGGCAGGUUACUGGGCCGUUACUGACGCUGAGGAGCGAAAGCGUGGGGAGCGAACAGG